rnacentral:misc_RNA from 1 species
AACGCACGAGACCUGCGGACCUGCGGAAGGAUCAUUCAUAAUAAAAGUGAAAUAAAUUAUGGCACUUUUAAAACAAUCCAUAUCCACCUUGUGUGCAAUGUUUUUUUUAUAUCAACUCUUUUAAAUACAAAUUGAUCUGAAAUUAUUUUAUAUGAAUACUUAAUUCAAAAAUAUAACUUUUAACAAUGGAUCUCU